UAUUUUUUAAUAACUAAUAAAUUAUAAGCGUUUUUCCGUGCAGCUUUCAGAAAAAUAAUGUAUAUUGCCUACUUUAAAAUACACUCUUAAAUUAAACUAUAAUAGUUUAUUUAGUCUUUGUUUUAAAUUUCGCCCACCACUGUAUGCUGAUACUUGCCUAUUUACCCAGCCUCGACUGUACGACCCUCUCACAGAUACAACAUUUUGGAUGCUUUUGGCUGCGCCUGUGUUGGUAGGUCGGCAGCCAUGGCGCACGCUCGAAAACUGAAGUCGGCGAAAAAGUCGUCUGGCUCCAGAAGCACCGCCCAUUUUCAGAGGCUUUCAUCGAUCCCCGACAAGACGAAAGUGUGGAUAUGGACCAGACCAUUUAUUUUCCACUUUCGGAAGUGGGUUCCUAUAGGAGCGAGUGGAGAUGCAGCGAACUCUUGGAUAACAGCCGCAUUGAUCUUGAAGAGGGGAAAGGAACUACUGGAUGCCGAUUUCUCCGACUGAAUCCCGCUACCGAGCUGGAGAGUCUGGGCUGACUUGCAAUAAUUUCAAUUGAACAACCGACGAAUAUCACUUUGGCACAAUGUUCUCCUGUGUGAUUAUUGUUGUGGUCUCGCUGGGGUUAAGGCUGUUAUUGUUGUUAUCAUUACUACCGUGAUUUUCCCUCCGAAGCUGUUGUUAUGGCGAUGACGGGCACUUAUUCAAAUGAAGCAGGCAAAACAUGGAAAAUCGAUAGAAUGAUUGUUGUAUAAUGCACGUCGAGAAGGUCGGGCAUUUAACGCUUUAAUAUUGUUUUUAGUAAAUAUUUAGACAGAAUCAGAACGCGCGUCAAGAUGGAUGUGGUCGAGUUAAGAUUUAGAAACGGAGUAAGCACUUGACUCUUUUUCCGAGUGUAAGGCGAACCAGACGGGACGCCGACCGAGUUCCAUGCGUGAAAUCGAGCCAGGAGUGGGACGGCGAUACGCCCAGAAAAAGAGAGGGCGACUGCAAAUGCAUGUGGGCUCCAUGCUGGUCGAAAGCAACAACUGCACUCGCCGUCCUGGCCAAGACCAUCAAUUACCGCUUUUUCCCGGACCCAGAGACACAGAGACACUCUCGGUCGCCGCUGCUGGCCCCUCGACCCCGGUCCCCCAUCCCCGAUCUCCGGAACAGCCAGCCCAACUCACGAACACCUUUGAGAACGUUUUCAUUUUCUGAAAUGGCCAAAUGGCUUUGUUAACAGCUUUUGUGCAGUGGCUCGCCUAAUAAAUGUUUAUUUAAUUGA